GUUUAGACAAAUUUUACCACCAUUAUCAGGCAACCCUAAAAUUUUCUAAUUAUUUUGGGUUUAGCGUUUGUUUAGACAAAUUUUAGCACCAUUAUCGGGCAGGUUUGGAUCAGGCUUGCACGUCAAAAAUGCCACUACCACCUAAAAAUGUCUUUUUCAAGUGUACAGGUGAGUAGUACAACUGAAACUAAAAAGAAAAUAACACUUACA
rnacentral:misc_RNA from 1 species